rnacentral:rRNA from 1 species
UUAAAUCAUUAAAUUUAAAAGAUUUGGCGGUAUUUUAUAAAAUUAGAGGAACCUGUGUAUUAAUUGAUGAUCCACGAUAAGAUAAACUUAAAUAUUUAUGUAUUGCUGUUUGAAAAUUAUUAUUAAUUAAAUGUUUAAAAUAUUAUUUUAAUAUAAUUCAAGUCAAAAUAUAGUUUAAUUAAGAUAUGGGUUACAAUUAAAAAUUGAAAUUGGAUUUAAUAGUAA